ACGGGAGGCAGCAGUGGGGAAUCUUGCGCAAUGGGCGAAAGCCUGACGCAGCAACGCCGCGUGGGGGAUGAAGGCCUUCGGGUUGUAAACCUCUUUCACCAUCGACGAAGCCCUUUGGGGUGACGGUAGGUGGGGAAGAAGCACCGGCUAACUACGUGCCAGCAGCCGCGGUAAUACGUAGGGUGCGAGCGUUGUCCGGAUUUAUUGGGCGUAAAGAGCUCGUAGGCGGUUUGUCGCGUCGGCCGUGAAAACCUACAGCUUAACUGUGGGCUUGCGGUCGAUACGGGCAGACUUGAGUUCGGCAGGGGAGACUGGAAUUCCUGGUGUAGCGGUGAAAUGCGCAGAUAUCAGGAGGAACACCGGUGGCGAAGGCGGGUCUCUGGGCCGAUACUGACGCUGAGGAGCGAAAGCGUGGGGAGCGAACAGGAUUAGAUACCCUGGUA
rnacentral:rRNA from 1 species